rnacentral:rRNA from 1 species
AGGGCGCAAGGUGAAUGCCUUGGCACUGGGAGCCGAUGAAAGACGUGGUAAGCUGCGAAAAGCUUCGGGGAGGAGCAAACAUCCAUUGAUCCGGAGAUAUCUGAAUGGGGCAACCCAAUGGAGUUCAUACUCCAUUAUCCAAUACUGAAUCCAUAGGUAUUGGAAGGGAACCGCCUGAACUGAAACAUCUAAGUAGGGCGAGGAAGAGACAUCAAACGAGAUUCCGUAAGUAGUGGCGAGCGAACGCGGAAGAGGGCAAACCGAGAGGAGAAAUCCUUUCGGGGUACGGACUGCUUUAAGGACUGAAAGAGUUAACAGAAUGGCAUGGGAAGGCCAACCAAAGAGUGUGAGAGUCACGUAAGUAAAAAUUCUGACAGCUGCGCAGGAUCCAGAGUACGGCCAGACACGUGAAACCUGGUCGGAACACGGGGGGACCACCCUCCAACCCUAAAUACUACCCAGUGACCGAUAGCGUAUAGUACUGUGAAGGAAAGGUGAAAAGGACCCCGGGAGGGGAGUGAAAGAGAACCUGAAACCUUGUGCCUACAAGCACAUAGAGCCCGUCAAAGGGUGAUAUGGUACUUUUUGUAGAACGGUCCGGCGAGCGAUUGUACGUUGCGAGCUUAAGGUCUUAAGGACUGGAGGCGUAGCGAGAGCGAGUCUAAACAGGGCGUUUAGUAGCGUGCAAUGGGCCCGAAACCGGGUGACCUACCCAUGAUCAGGCUGAAGUGAAAGUAAAAUUUCAUGGAGGGCCGAACCGACCUCCGUUGAAAAGGCGGCGGAUGAAUUGUGGGUAGCGGAGAAAUUCCAAUCGAACUCGGAGAUAGCUGGUUCUCCCCGAAAUAGCUUUAGGGCUAGCCUCAUGUUAGAUAUCCGGAGGUAAAGCACUGAAUGGCCUAGCGUCCGAGAGGAUAGCGAAGCCUAUCAAACUAAGAAUGCCGGAAUAUUGAUGCAUGGGAGUCAGACAGUGUGAGAUAAAUCUCAUUGUCAAAAGGGAAACAGCCCAGAUCUACAGCUAAGGUCCCAAAUUGUAUCUAAGUGGAAAACGAUGUGGAAAUACGCAGACAACCAGGAUGUUGGCUCAGAAGCAGCCACUCAUUUAAAGAGUGCGUAAUAGCUCACUGGUCGAGCGUCUCUGCGCGGAAAAUUUAACGGGGCUAAGAUACAAACCGAAGCUUAGGCUGCACUUUUAGUGCGGGGUAGGGGAGCGUUGUGUAAGCGGAGAAACAGUAGCGUAAGCGGCUGUGGAGUUUACAGAAGUGAGAAUGCCGGAAUGAGUAGCGCGAAUGCAGUGAGAAUCUGCAUGGCCGAAAGCCUCAGGUUUUUGGAGGAAGGUUCGUCCGCUCCAAGUUAGGCGGGAGCUAAGGUGAGGCCGAAAGGCGUAGCCGAUGCACAGACGGUAGAGAUUCCGUCCCCACCGAAAGAUUUAAGCGCAGGGACACUUUUAGAAGGUCGGAGCCAGGUGUUGGUUCUGGUAGAGAUCGAGGGAAGAUUAGUACCGAAGUCCGGCUGGAUAAGAGGCGAGAAAAGCUGCGUGUAUAUCUAAGGUGCCCGUACCGCAAACCGACACAGGUAGGUAGGAAGAAGAUUCUAAGGCCAACGGGAGAAGGGUUGUUAAGGAACUCGGCAAAUUGACCCCGUAACUUCGGGAGAAGGGGUGCUCCAGAGAUGGAGCCGCAGAGAAUCGGCCCAAGCAACUGUUUACCAAAAACACAGGUUUGUGCUAAAUCGAAAGAUGACGUAUACGAGCUGACGCCUGCCCGGUGCUGGAAGGUUAAGAGGAGAUGUGCAAGCAUUGAAUCGAAGCCCCAGUGAACGGCGGCCGUAACUAUAACGGUCCUAAGGUAGCGAAAUUCCUUGUCAGGUAAGUUCUGACCCGCAUGAAAGGCGUAAUGAUUUGGGCACUGUCUCAACAGCCCGCCCGGCGAAAUUGUAGUACCGGUGAAGAUGCCGGUUACCCGCGACAAGACGGAAAGACCCCAUGGAGCUUUACUGUAGCCUAAUAUUGGGUUUCGAUGUUGCAUGCACAGGAUAGAUGGGACACAGGGAAACAAGUGCUUUGGCAUUUGUGGAGUGGCCGUUGGGAUACCAUCCUUGCGAUAUUGGAAUUCUAACCUGCG